UUGUCUUUUCUGUUGUGAAAAUGGUAACUGGCUCAGGAGUUGUUAUAUGUGGUGUGAAACUUACAAUUGGCUCUGUACUUGUUGUAUAUGAUGUGAAACUGGUCGUUGGAGUAUGAGCCGCCGUAUGUGAUGUGAAACGGGGAUGUGGAUGCUGAUCUGUCGUAUGCGACGUGAGACUUCUGUUUGGCUCUGGACUUGUCUUAUGUGAUGUGAAACUGGCAGUUGGCUGAGGAGUUGUUGUUUGUGAUGUGAAACUGGUAUUUGCAUUGUUAAUUGUCAGAUGUGAUGUGAAACUUGUAGUUAGCUCGGAAAUUGUUGUAUGUGAUGUGAAUCUGGUAGUUUGCUCAGAAGUUAUCGUAUGUGAUGUGAAACUGGUAGCUGGCUUGGGAGUUGUUGUAUGUGAUGUGAAAAUUGUAGUUGGCUCAGAAUUUGUUGUAUGUGCUCUGAAACUGGUAGUUGGCUUGGGAGUUGUCAUAUGUGAUGUGAAAAUUGUAAUUGGAUGGUGAGUUAUCAUAUGUGAUGAUAAACUUUUAGUUUCCCUGGGAGUUGUUGUAAGUGAUGUGAAACUACGAGUUGGCUCGGGAAUUGUUGUAUGUGAUGUGAAAAUUGUAAUUGGAUGGUGAGUUAUCAUAUGUGAUGAUAAACUUUUAGUUUCCCUGGGAGUUGUUGUAAGUGAUGUGAAACUAGGAGUUGGCUCGGGAAUUGUUGUAUGUGAUGUGAAAAUUGUAAUUGGCUCAGAAGUUUUUGUAUGUGAUGUGAAACUUGCAGUUGGCUCUGGACUUAUCGCAUGUGAUGUGAAAGUUGUAGUUGGCCCUGGGCUUGUCGUUUCUGAUGUGAAAAUGGUAACUGGCUCAGGAGUUGUCUUAUGUAACGUGAAACUUACAAUUGGGUCUGUAAUUGUUGUAUAUGAUGUGAAACUGGUUGUUGGAUUGUGAGUUGUAUGUGAUGUGAAAUUGGUAGUUGGAUUGUAAGAUCUUGUAUUUGAUGUGAAGCUUGUGGUUGAAAUGUAAGUUGUCGUAUGUGAUUUGAAACUUGUAGUUGGCUCUGGGGUUGUCGUUUCUGAUGUGAAAAUGGUAACUGGCUCAGGAGUUGUUAUAUGUGAUGUGAAAAUUGUAAUUGGAUGGUGAGUUAUCAUAUGUGAUGAUAAACUGUGAGUUUCCCUGGGAGUUGUUGUAAGUGAUGUGAAACUACUAGUUGGCUCGGGAAUUGUUGUAUGUGAUGUGAAUCUGGUAGUUUGCUCAGAAGUUAUCGUAUGUGAUGUGAAAGUUGUAGUUGGCCCUGGGCUUGUCGUUUCUGAUGUGAAAAUGGUAACUGGCUCAGGAGUUGUUAUAUGUGGUGUGAAACUUACAAUUGGCUCUGUACUUGUUGUAUAUGAUGUGAAACUGGUUGUUGGAUUGUGAGUUGUAUGUGAUGUGAAAUUGGUAGUUGGAUUGUAAGAUCUUGUAUUUGAUGUGAAGCUUGUGGUUGAAAUGUAAGUUGUCGUAUGUGAUUUGAAACUUGUAGUUGGAUUUUGAGAUGUAUGUGACAUGAAACUGGUAGUUGGGUUGUGAGUUGUUGUAUGUGAUGUGAAAAUUGUACUUGGCUCUGGACUUGUCGAAUGUGAUGUGAAACUGGUAGUUUGCUCAGAAGUUAUCGUAUGUGAUGUGAAACUAAUAGUUGGCUGAGGAGUUAUUGUUUGUGAUGUGAAACUGGUAUUUGUAUUGUAAGUUGUCGGAUGUGAUGUGAAACUCGUACUUGGCUCUGGACUUGUCGAAUGUGAUGUGAAACUGGUAUUUGUAUUGUAAGUUGUCGGAUGUGAUGUGAAACUCGUACUUGGCUCUGGACUUGUCGAAUGUGAUGUGAAACUGGUAGUUGGCGCAGAGGGUAUCGGAUGUGAUGUGGAAGGUGGAGGUGGCUUUUGAGAUGUAUGUGACAUGAAACUGGUCGUUGGGUUGU
ensembl:lncRNA